rnacentral:rRNA from 1 species
UACGAAGGGGGCGAGCGUUGUUCGGAUUUAUUGGGCGUAAAGGGCGCGCAGGCGGCUCAUUUUGUCAGGCGUGAAAGCCCCGGGCUUAACCUGGGAACUGCGUUUGAUACGGAUGGGCUAGAGUUCGGGAGAGGAGAGUGGAAUUCCCAGUGUAGAGGUGAAAUUCGUAGAUAUUGGGAAGAACACCGGUGGCGAAGGCGGCUCUCUGGACUGAUACUGACGCUGAGGCGCGAAAGCGUGGGGAGCGAACAGG